UGUACUAUGUAUCUAAAGUGACUAGCCUUUAAACAAUAUAUCGGCGUUUUCUUACUUUGUAAGUCAAGCAAGCAAAAUGUUUUCUUCAUUUCACAGAGAUUGGACAUAGCCAUGCGUUAUAUUUUCUUCUCAAUAGACACUCAAGAGUAGGCUUUGAAAACAAACCGGAAACUGUGCGUUUUAAAGACGCAGGCUAGUCAAUAGUGUGAAAGAAUCUAAUUUUCGGUACGAGAAACACAUUAUGGCGUUUGUAAUUGGUUGUUAGAAGACGAGGUUGAUAAAACUUUCUUAUUCAAACAUCAAAAGCAAGCUGUUAUAAGUUGAUUUACGUCUAGUUAUGUGCUUUGGGAAAGCACCCGACUCCGGGACAGAUGGAGCACCAAAGGUUGAGCUCUCUGUUGGUGGUCAUAUGAUAUGAUUAACAAACUGCUAUCUUGUAAGCUAGGAGAUAAGGCCCGAGCUAGGGAGCUUUGCUCUUGGCACACAAGCAUUCCAAGCACCAGUCGAGCAAAAGAGCGCAUCAAUAUAAUUCUAGAGAAAAAUCAAAAGAUUUGAACAGAUAAUCUGUUUAAAAGAAUUUAGCCUAUUAUCAUCCUACAGUAUCGUAGAUUCAUGCAUAGGGACAGUCGGAUAUUACAGCUUGGUGUUACAUUUUUUCAACUUGACAAAGUUAGCACGUGGGAGCCCCAGCACAUAUACCCGCGGCUAUUUACUCAAGUUGUGGUUGCUUCGAAACAUGAUGGUAUUUUUCGAGUCCACCUAUAUUACAGAUUGUACGUUUCUGCGUUCGAAAACGCACUUGCUACGUUUUGAUUUGCUGUAUAAUCAGAAUCUGUCAAUAUUUAAUUGCAACAACAGCAAAUUGUUUAUCAAUUCAUUCCAUACCCUGAGAUCUUGUGUUACACGGCAUCAUGUGCAGCGUGAGCUAGAAGAUCUUUUUAUAAUGAGAACAAUACGAAUGGGUCAUUCUUGGAGGGAACCAAUUGCAAAAAGAACGUGAAAUCUGUGAUAUACGUAAGGGGUAACGAUGGGUACCUUAAAAUUUCGAAAAUCUCGCAAAAAUUUCGCAAAGUCUCGGAAUCUCGGCGUUUUUACGAAAGUCUCGAAGUCUCGUUUUUCCCCACGACAUUUUAGGAUCUUGGAGCCUCUUUUUGUACCACGUUCUCGGAGUCUCUGUUAAACGCGAUCUGUUUUAUGUUGUUACUGCUAAGGGUUUCCCUCUUUUUCGAGUCUCGAGUCUUAAGCCUUUCCGCUCUAGCUAUUCUUUUUCAACUAAUGUUUAUGACAUACCUCGAGCAAGUUAUCUGAUGUCCGAACACAAGCUAGUAAAAGCUCGGACACGGAUUCCGAAAUUUGACUUAAAGUCUCGGGCUCGGAUAGUAAUCUGGCGGUGUUUAACGUUUGCGAGGAUAUAAUAUUUCCACUGGCUUUCCAUGCCUAUAUCUGUCUCUUGAUCUCGUGCUUGCAUGAAUAUCUAGACCGUUGCAUUUUCGAACGCACUAAUAGACAUGCGAUUGGUUUUAUCCUAAGGGAUAAAUUACUUGACAUUGUUAUUUAUACCCUGCUUAUACUCAAGCUCACCAAACUAUAGACAAAAAUGCUCAAUGAAAUAAAUUGUAGUCCACUACUUUGAAUGUAAACCCAGGAAAGUGACAUGAAUGUAGGAAAUAUUAUGAACUUAUACCCAAAAUUAAGCAAACCAAAAGCACAUAACUAGCUUUAAAGACGUAAAUCAACUAUAAAUCAACUAAUAACAGCUUGCUUUGAUGUUUGAACAAGAAAAAUUAUAUCAUGUUCUUACAAGCAAUUACAAGCGCCAUGUGUUUCUUGUACCGAAAAUUAGAUUCUUCUACACUAUUGACUAGCCUGCGUCUUUAAAACGCACACUUUCCGGUUUGUUCGGGCCUUAUCUCCUAGCUUACAAGAUGGCAGUUUUUUAAUCAUAUCAUAUGACCACCAACAGAGAGCUCAACCUUUGGUGCUCCAUCUGUCCCGGAGUCGGGUGCUUUCCUAAAGCACAUAACUAGACGUAAAUCAACUUAUAACAGCUUGCUUUUGAUGUUUGAAUAAGAAAGUUGUAUCAACCUCAUCUUCUAACAACCAAUUACAAACGUCAUAAUGUGUUUCUCGUACCGAAAAUUAGAUUCUUUCACACUAUUGACUAGCCUGCGUCUUUAAAACGCACAGUUUCCGGUUUGUUUUCAAAGCCUACUCUUGAGUGUCUAUCGAGAAGUAUAACGCAUGGCUAUGUCCGAUCUCUGUGAAAUGAACAAAACAUUUUGCGUGCUUGACUUACAAAGUAAGAAAACGCCGAUAUAUUGUUUAAAGGCUAGUCACUUUAGAUACAUAGUACACUAAAAUUUUUACCGGCUUUCCAUGCCUAUGUAGCUUUGUAAAUCGAUCCUAGACACUCGUUGCGUCUGCAAACGCACUGAUUGGGAAUGUGAUUGGCUUUUAUUCGUUCUCCUUGCAAUAAAUGAUGAUGUUGUAUACUAUCUUCCUCUUUCACGUUUCAGUGAGAUGUUUCAGUAGUUAGAGGUUUGCUUUAUUAAAGGGGUUUUCCGUAUGUGAUUGCUUCGAAACACGAUGGUAUUUUUCGAGUUCACCUAUAUUACAGAUUGCACAUUCUGUGUUCGAAAACGCACUUUGAUUUGCUGUAUAAUCCGAAUCUGUUGAAACAGUAAAUUGUUUAUCAAUUCAUUCCAUACCCUGAGAUCUCGUGUUACACGGCAUCAUGUGCAGCGUGAGCUAGAAGAUUUCUCUCCUGCAUCUUUUUAUAAUGAGAACAAUACGAAUGGGUCAUUCUUGGAUGAAACCGACGGCAAAAAGAACAAUAUUUGAUUUGGAUGCAGACAAAUUUGGGCUGGAUACAGCCGUGAUCGAGCCAAGCCACGGGACUAAAAGGGCGCCAAUUUCGUUUCGCGCCAUCACAAGUCUUUGGUUCAUUGAGAUCAAGUAUGAUUAGUCCGACCUGGGAACACUAAAAAUAUCCACUUGGUGAAUUGUUCACAGAAAGACAUGACAUAUUUGGUAUAGCGAAAAGAGAUUCUGGGAGAGCUGUGCAAAGAAGAAAAAGGUCAUUACUAGGGAUAAGAAUGAUUCAGUGUGAUUGGUCAGGUCGCGUGGAAGAACGCGGAAUCACGAAGGCUCAAAUUUCAAGAUCAUUUCAUUGGCUGACUGGCGUUUUCCAGACGCGUUGAAUUAAGGCUAUUGAAGUGACGGUCUCUGAUUGGUUGACCCGCGGUUUGAGGACGUGAAAACAACGCUCUCGCAAAAGUACACAUUUAAAUGGGAAAGUACAUUUUUAAAUGGGAAAGUGUUAUAGGAAUGAUUUAAACUAUUCUCUAAAUGUCCAUUUUUUGUA